rnacentral:sRNA from 1 species
AGACGGGGUCGACUUCCGGCUCAGUCGGGAGGCCCUGAAACACGUCUACCUGUCUGGGAUCAACUCCUGGAAGAAACGCCUGAUCCGCAUCAAGAAUGGCAUCCUCAGGGGCGUGUACCCUGGCAGCCCCACCAGCUGGCUGGUCGUCAUCAUGGCAACAGUGGGUUCCUCCUUCUGCAACGUGGACGUCUCCUUGGGGCUGGUCAGUUGCAUCCAGAGAUGCCUCCCUCAGGGGUGUGGCCCCUACCAGACCCCGCAGACCCGGGCACUUCUCAGCAUGGCCAUCUUCUCCACGGGCGUCUGGGUGACGGGCAUCUUCUUCUUCCGCCAAACCCUGAAGCUGCUUCUCUGCUACCAUGGGUGGAUGUUUGAGAUGCAUGGCAAGACCAGCAACUUGACCAGGAUCUGGGCUGUGAGCAGCAGCCAGUGGAGGGGUUCAGGCACCUGGGUUGAGACUCUUUGGACUCCUUUGGGGUUCUGAGCUAGAGGGGAGAGGCAGACAGGGCACUGGUGCCUGGUGUGUGGUUUGUCCUGGAGGGGCUGGGAUGGCUCUGAGGGUCUC